rnacentral:sRNA from 1 species
UUUUCCACUUCGUUUCUUUCAGUUUCUGUCUCUGCCUCUCACAUGAUCACACUCCUGUUUUCUAACUCACUGUCUGUAUUUCACCACGACUAUAUCUCCCCGACCCCUGUGCUUUUCUCACUGUUUCUUUUUCUUCCGUUUGGAGUCUCUCUUAUCCUCCCCUGCCCCAUCUACCUUUCCCCAUUUUCUCUCUCCUCAUGCAUCCACCCCCUUCCUCCCCAGGAAUAGCCAGGUCUGGCUGGGUCGGCACAACCUGUUUGAGCCUGAAGACACAGGCCAGAGGGUCCCUGUCAGCCACAGCUUCCCACACCCGCUCUACAAUAUGAGCCUUCUGAAGCAUCGAAGCCUUAGACCAGAUGAAGACUCCAGCCAUGACCUCAUGCUGCUCCGCCUGUCAGAGCCUGCCAAGAUCACAGAUGCUGUGAAGGUCCUGGGCCUGCCCACCCAGGAGCCAGCACUGGGGACCACCUGCUACGCCUCAGGCUGGGGCAGCAUCGAACCAGAGGAGUGAGUCUUCAGUGCGUGAGCCUCCAUCUCCUGUCCAAUGACAUGUGUGCUAGAGCUUACUCUGAGAAGGUGACAGAGUUCAUGUUGUGUGCUGGGCUCUGGACAGGUGGUAAAGACACUUGUGGGGUGAGUCAUCCCUACUCCCAACAUCUGGAGGGGAAAGGUGAGUGAAGACCCUAAUUCUGGGCUGCAAUCUGAAAGCUAACCAGACAUCUGCCUCCCCUGCUCCCCAGCUAUAGCCACGCCCCCUCCCCAUGCCUCAUCUGCCACCCUCCUUCCCCCUUCCCUGACUCCCUCAACACAAGAGGUGAUUCUCACAGCAUAAUUCACCCAUUCCUGUGUUGAGCACAUGCUUACUGGGCACCUGCUACGUGACCAGCAUUGCCGUAGACCCUGGGAAGCAGCAGUGAACAGAUAGAGAGAGCAGCCUCUCCCUCCUGCAGCCCCCACGCUGGUGAGGGGCACGGGCAGGAACAGUGGACCCAACAUGGAAAUGCUGGAGGGUGUCGGGAAGUGAUUGGGCUCUGGGGCA